rnacentral:rRNA from 1 species
AACGAACGCUGGCGGCAUGCCUAAUACAUGCAAGUCGAACGAGAUCUUCGGAUCUAGUGGCGCACGGGUGCGUAACGCGUGGGAAUCUACCCUUGGGUUCGGAAUAACAGUUAGAAAUGACUGCUAAUACCGGAUGAUGCCGUAAGUCCAAAGAUUUAUCGCCCAAGGAUGAGCCCGCGUAGGAUUAGCUAGUUGGUGGGGUAAAGGCCUACCAAGGCUACGAUCCUUAGCUGGUCUGAGAGGAUGAUCAGCCACACUGGGACUGAGACACGGCCCAGACUCCUACGGGAGGCAGCAGUAGGGAAUAUUGGACAAUGGGGGAAACCCUGAUCCAGCAAUGCCGCGUGAGCGAUGAAGGCCUUAGGGUUGUAAAGCUCUUUUACCCGGGAUGAUAAUGACAGUACCGGGAGAAUAAGCCCCGGCUAACUCCGUGCCAGCCGCCGCCGUAA